GCAUUUGCAAUAAGGAUGAGAAGGAUGACAAAUGGCUCGACAAAGGCAGUGACAGUUUCCUCGCCUUCCUCAAACCAGGCCAGUACCUGAUGAACAGAGAGAGUGUGAGAGACAUCCAAGAUCCAUACGGGAGGGAUGGAGGAAGGGAGGUGACCCUCACAGCUCUAGCGUGGCCGAAGAAAUGGAGAUUGUGUGGGGUACAGCAGUUAUUUUGCCAUUCAGGCUUUUAUAAGUUGAAAUAGUUUUCACCACUGACUCUCUGUGACUUUUCGACUCUGACCCCUUGCCCCCUCUCUGACCUGGGCCCCAUCAGGUGUGCUUGUGUGUCAUGUUUCUGACAUCCCUGUUGUUGUACAGAAUGUGUCCCGGCGCUGCUGGCAUGUCUGUGCUCAUGUUGCAGCAAGGGUCGCAUUGCUGCAAAAAAUGCGCUAGAUGAUUU